rnacentral:rRNA from 1 species
AUUGAACGCUGGCGGCAGGCCUAAUACAUGCAAGUCGAGCGGUGCGGAGGACGGGUGAGUAAUUCCUAGGUAUCUGCCUGGCCGUGGGGGAUAACGUCCAGUAACGGGAGCUAAUCCCGUACCCUUUCUGCUGAGCCUAGGUGGGAUUAGCUCGUUGGUGGGGUAAAGGCCUACCAAGGCGACGAUCCGUAACUGGUCUGCGAGGCUGAUCAGCCAAACGGGAACUGAGACACGGUCCAGACUCCUACGGGAGGCAGCAGUGGGGAAUAUUGGACAAUGGGCGAAAGCCUGAUCCAGCCAUGCCGCGUGUGUGAAGAAGGUCUUCGGAUUGUAAAGCACUUUAAGUUGGGAGGCGUUACCAACAGAAUAAGCACCGGCUAACUACGUGCCAGCAGCCGCGGUAAUUC